rnacentral:rRNA from 1 species
CAGCCGUAAACUAUGCGCGUUAGGUGUACUGGUGACCACGAGUCACCGGGGUGCCGAAGGGAAACCGUGAAACGUGCCGCCUGGGAAGUACGGUCGCAAGGCUGAAACUUAAAGGAAUUGACGGGGGAGCACCACAACGGGUGGAGCCUGCGGUUUAAUUGGACUCAACGCCGGAAUCUCACCGGAUAGGACAGACAUAUGAUAGUCGGGCUGAAGACUCUACUUGAUGAUCUGAGAGGAGGUGCAUGGCGUCAGUGACU